GGAACUGGGAUAAUCCCUGAUAAGCCAGAGAUGCUGGAAGGCGCUCUGGUAGAAAGUUCCGACGCCUCAGGAUGGGUCUGCGGCCUAUCAGGGUAGUAGUGGGUGUAACGUACCUACUAGCCUACGACGGGUACGGGUUGUGAGAGCAAGAGCCCGGAGAUGGAUUCUGAGACACGAAUCCAGGCCCUACGGGGUGCAGCAGGCGCGAAAACUUUACAAUGCGGGACACCGCGAUAAGGGGACCUCGAGUGCCGGCAUACAAUGCUGGCUGUCAUGAUGCCUAAAAAGCAUCGUAUAGCAAGGGCCGGACAAGACCGGUGCCAGCCGCCGCGGUAACACCGGCGGCUCGAGUGGUAACCGCUAUUAUUGGGUCUAAAGGGUCUGUAGCCGGCUUGAUAAGUCUCUUGGGAAAUCCGGCAGCUUAACUGUCGGGCUGCCAGGGGAUACUGUCUGGCUUGGGACCGGGAGAGGUGAGAGGUACUUCAGGGGUAGGGGUGAAAUCUUGUAAUCCUUGAAGGACCACCAGUGGCGAAGGCGUCUCACCAGAACGGGUCCGACGGCAAGGGACGAAAGCUAGGGGCACGAACCGGAUUAGAUACCCGGGUAGUCCUAGCUGUAAACGAUACUCGCUAGGUGUCGGCCACGGUGCGACCGUGGUCGGUGCCGUAGGGAAGCCGUGAAGCGAGCCACCUGGGAAGUACGGCCGCAAGGCUGAAACUUAAAGGAAUUGGCGGGGGAGCACUACAACGGGUGGAGCCUGCGGUUUAAUUGGAUUCAACGCCGGAAAGCUCACCGGGGGGCGACAGCAUGAUGAAGGCCAGGCUGAAGACCUUGCCUGAUCCGCUGAGAGGUGGUGCAUGGCCGUCGUCAGUUCGUACUGUGAAGCAU
rnacentral:rRNA from 1 species